UUUGUGCAACCAGUUAGAUGUGAACUUUAUUUUCCGAGGAACAGCAGAUAUUAGUUUCAGAUGACAGGCGGAGGAACACUGCCAGGUUUGGGGGAUGCUCUCUAGUGCAGAUUCUUACAGACAAUGCAAAUGGUCCUCACCUUCCCUCUGGCACUGGAGAGGAUAACAAGUUCUCUGACCAAUUUUAUUGGCAAGCUGUCAUUCUGAUUUCCCAUCUUUGCUUUGGGCAGACUGUUUGCAGCUGCUUUGGAUGUGCCAGAUGCUGGAUGUAACAGCCACUGAUGCAGUCCCUUGGUAUCAGGGAUGCUGUAAAUCAAAAUAUCCCCAGCGGUCUCGGGGAGAGCCAAUGGCAUGUUCAGCCUCUCUCCUGUCUUGUCAAGAGAUGAUGACAAUGAUUUGGCUGCUAGGGAUCCUUAAAACCAACAAGAGGGACUCUGAGGCAUGUGGCCUCUGCCUUCUCCCUAGCAUGGAUGGUCAGUCAGAGCCACAUAUCUGAUGCUAAACUUUUUCAAAUCUUGAAUCAUCCUCUUCCUGCUCAUCCUUGACCAAGAAGUGGCAAAUGCGAUGUGUAAUUGCAACAAAACCAGAAUUAUCCCUAUUUUCUGACCCCUGUGUCCACAUUUGGCAUAUCUUGCCUUGGGCCAUGAGCCCAUUCCUCACCUCAAGUAUCUGUCUGACUUUUAAAGGUCAUCUUCAGAGGAUAAGACCUUCAGGCUGUCAGAGGAAGUACUGCACAGCAAGACUUCCUUCUGUGGCUGACAGCUUGCCAGAUGAAGCCAUCUCUGCUCCGAGCCAGAGCUGCAUCGCAUGUGUCUUUGAUAUUCUGCAAAGAGUAAGGUCUUGCUGCUGGCCCCACAGGGUGACAGCCUUACUCCGGAGCACAAGCACCAGCACCUCUCAACUCAGAAGAGGCCACUUACCACAUCUGGGUUUCUCACUGCUGCCUCCAACAAAUAUUGCUAUCAUUUCAGGAAACCGCACAGCGGUGAGAUCCUGGAAAUACAGAAGCAGCAGCAAUGAAUGAAAUAUAUGAACUUCUGUGAACUUAACCAGACUUUCUCAACCGGCUCAAGCUGAGUUUAGAGUUUGGGUUUGGACUAAUUCUUCUUUGAUCAAAUCCAGCUCCCUGUCCCUCUUUACAGAUGAAACAAAAAUUGUCGCUAUCGGGGCAAGAAGCUGAUAAAAGAUUCUUCCUAAGAACAAAACCUGAAGUUUAUACAUCUGUGCUCAAAAAAGGACCUUCAGGGAAGGGGGAGGCUUCUUGGGAAGAAAUCCUGAAAUAGGCUGUUGGGAGAGGGAGGAGAGGGAGGCUUGCUAAAUCCCUUGAAUAGCAUCACUUUUCUUUCAAGUACUUCCCCCUCCCCAAAGAAGCUGGUUCUUUUAUGGCCUUUCUUUAUGUUGUUUAGUAUCUAAAAAUCAUAUAUGCUUCAAAAAGUGUUUCCUUUGCUAGCACAGAGGCAUAUUCAAGCUGGAAUUAGAUGCUUAAGUAUCUUUGAACAUGGGUGGAGAGACCUAAUCGACGAUGUCUGUACAUACCUGUGGCCAUGGAAAAAUCUCAUUGCCUAGGUGGAAUGUGCAGCCAGGCUAUCUUCACACUAGCUGGUCCAUGAAAAGUCUCAGGUGUUCAAAAAAACCUCCCUAACCUUUCCUUGAGAGGAAAGAAGCUCCAGAUCAUGUCACAACAUAAGCCUGAGCUGAGAAAACUUUUUUCUCCAAAUGGCUCUUCCCAUAGGAGCCUGACCCAAAGGCAGUUCGUCUAUGGAAGUCUUGAAUCAGUCAGACCUAAUGGGAACUCAAAACUGAAUCCCACCAGACAUCUGCCCUCCUCUAGACUUGUGGUGCACUGUCGCUCCUCAAGCCCUUCAUGUUAGCCAGGCAGAGCGGUUUGUUUCUCUGGGGGCUUCAGAAGCAGCAGUGAGACACAAGGGGUGAGGCAGAGAUAGAGGGUGGCAGCAGCUGUUCAGGACGUGUUGCUGAUUCUGUGACAUCUCCCACCCUUUUUGGAAUUUGCGCGUUUGGAGCAAGACAGAAAGAAAGAAGAAACAGCCACUGAUAAAGCUUCACAUAGAUGACAGCCCUAUCCUCAAUGGGCUGUGACCCACAGCUUGUCUCCAGGGCUCUGCGGCAGCUGGGAGGCAAUGAUAGGCUUUGCUGCUUACUCUGUCUGUUCACCUCCCUGCUCUGAGCAUGGGGACGGAUAUCAUCUCCCUUCCUCCUUCCUCCCUCAUGUCUCUGUCUCUUCCUCUCUUAAGGCUGCAGUUUUCUCCAUAACCUCAGUUAACUUGCCCUGGCAGAGUUUCUGGCUUGGCUCUGCUUGCUGACCUUCUGUUGUGCAACUCCCCAGGGACUUGUAGCCUUGUUCCCUUUGAGAGUCCCACCUAGUGAUGGUGGGCUGGGAAAUCCCAGAGUAUUCUCUGUCCCAGGAAAUGCAAUUUAGGAGAGGAAAAAAAAUAUAGUGAAGAAAAAGUUUGUUGCUAGAAACUGUUGACACUGGACCAUGUUCCCUGGACAAAGUUUUCCUUGGAACAUGACUGUGCCAGUUUAGGUUUGUCUGAGGACCUCCAUCAAACCUGGAGGAUGCUGGUGUCACCCCAAGAACUAUUCUUCCCAGGGAAGGUGGCAAUAAGACACCUACUAAAAAGUUGUGGAGAGGGUAUUUGCUGGAACUCGGGGUGAUACACUUGUGUGGCAGAGAAGUCACUUGGGCUGGGAGCAAGGGAGGCUGCUCCAGGGGCAGAUGUGGAACAAGUUUUCUGUGGCUGUGAAAACAGUUUGGCUGGAGGGAAUGGGGAUUUCAGAGAGCAGCCAGACUUCUGCUGGUCUGUGGAAAUGGGGAGGAGUGGGUCUGUGGUGGAGAAGGGUCCUUGGGCAAGGAGAGCUGAGCUCUGCACUGCCUCUGGAGGGAGGGUGGGUUGUAUGGGAGGGCACAUGGAGUCUGGUAAAGCAUGCAUUUCCUCAGCCUCACUGACAGCAGGGUCUAUUUUGGGGUAAAUGUUGAAGACCGGGUCUCUGAAGCUCUGAUAAAUGGAGUUUCCCACAGCCCGAGCAAAGAUCCUGUGGCUUCAGGGUAUAGGGAGGGCUCCAGGCUGUGUUUCACAUGCAGACAACUGUCACCACAUGUAACUUUCUUUCCUUUCUUUUUUUUUUCUAUAACAAAUGAAGGGGGUCCCCACAUCUGGUUGUGGCAGUUAAACAGGCUUGAUUUAAUCACAGACUGAUAUAGGACACAUUAAAAAGAGGAGAAAAGGGUGAGAUACACAAAGCACCUGCUUUACCCCCAGGCAGCGUGCCCUGUUGUGGGUCAGGCUGCGCAUGCGGGAGGGCCAGGAAAUCCACAGCUGGUAGUGAGGGUGCAGGAGGAAGUGAGUUGCCCAGAUCCUGCCUGGGUGGAAAGUCAGAUGGCUGGGACCUUUUGCAAAGGUUUUUUUUUUUUUUUUGCAACAUACAGCUGGGUGGAGUGGAAGAAUGACAGGGACAUUGCAAAGGGGCCGGGGGUGGUAGCAAGGGUUUGUGCAGAUUCAUUGCGUGGCAGGAGGCUUCCAAAGGGACAUUUGCAGCAGUAUGAUGUGUGUGUUGAGAGGAGACAAGUCUUAUUCCUCAGCUGCCUCCCAGAAACCAGGAAAUCUCUUCUUCCUGAGACCAGGUUGCUCCCUAUCUGUAUAGUAAAGUUAGCUUUUAAACUUGAGCAGCAGGAGCAGCUCAAGUGCAGAGAAUUGCCAGCUGAGCUGGUGGUCAUCGUGUUCUGGCUGCUGCAGUUGUCUUUGCUGUACCCCCAGUGUCAAGGGGAGCACCAUCUUUCUGGACCAGGACAGCAAAGGAGGUGGGAGGGAAAGAAUAAAGCUGAAAACUGCUCUCUUCUAGUGGCAUUUUCCAUAGCUAGUGGGAAGAAUGCUAAAACUGUGACUUCCCAAACUGAAGCCCCCUGGCCAAAUCUUUUCCAUCCAGUCUUCAAAGAGCUAUGGCACUGUUGAUCCUCUGAGUAAAUGGGAGGUGUCGGUUCUCUGGGAUGUCCUGUGUGUUAAGUGGUUUCUUGAGCAUGGAUCAGGGGGUUCCCUGCUGAACUCGGGUGUUGAACUGCACCUCUCUAGCCCUAUGCUGGUAGGGUAUGGAUAUAUAGGGUCACUGUGUAUCUGUUCCCAGCUGCAGGAGUGAUUCCCAGUUAAACUGGCAAGCAGGAAUGUCCCAGCUGGGUGGAAAAUACACAAGGUCCAAAAGAGAGGUGAAACUUGGCUCUUCUGUGAGGAGUCCCUUGGAAUCAGGAUUCUUGGGGCUGGGACCCAGAAUUGGGAAAGCCCAUGCAAUCACUGAGGAGCUGGAUCAUCCUACCAGAAGCCAAGUGUUUUCCUGAGAGGGUGAUGGGUUUUGCCAUCCAUCCUAGCACUGGGUUUCUUUUCCCACCCCGCUCAAUUUUUUCAGUAGGUGAGCAUGUUAACUGAGACAGCAGUUUUUCCUACCCUCCCCUGCUUUCCUCCCUCCCCUCCACCCUCCAACCUGCUUAUUGAUGAAAGCGGAUUUGGCAUGUGAUAGGUCCCAAGAUAAAAGCAAUGUUACAAGAGAAUGUAAGCAACAGUUGGGGGGGUGGGGGGGAAGCCCCCAAAGAGUUGAGCAAGGCAUGACCAGGGUAUCUGGUGUCAGCCCCAGCCGUUCCUCGGCCCCAGGUGCAGCUGGGAAGAGGCUUGCCUUCUGGAAAGGGUUAAUGCCAGGACUGCUGCUAGGCUUUGGAGCCCCUUUUGACAGUGGUUUUGAAAUCUGAUUUUCUUUUUGCAACUAAGUGAGGUUUUUAUCAACUUCCUAUUUCAGAGCAGAAGUCGGAGGUGCUGCAGGAAGGCUGGUGAAGUGCUGCCUUGUGUCCUUCUGCCCUGUGCCCUUGCAUUUAGUUGAGGUAACCAGUGUGCUGGCAAUGCAAGAACCACAGCUUGGGCAAAUGGGAGAUCAAGGGUAGAGAACAGACGCAGAUUCAGUGAGAUAAAGGGUCCAGUUUUAGUCUUUGCAUCACACCACCGGCCAGCCAUGCUGCAUGUGCCGCUUGCUCCCUGGUUGCUUGCUGCAGCAUUGUAGAUUCUCUUCUCACCUGUGUGCAGGGUUCAGCUGUCCGUGGCUGGUGGCCUGUGUCAAACUCCUUGUGCAAAGCGGCAAAAUAACUGUUUGUGCUUCUGCCUGUAAUGCCCAGGUGCUGAGACGUGCAUGAGUGCCUGAACUCCAAGACUGGAUGAAGCCCAAAGCGGCUCUGUUGUGGGCUUGCAGCCUAACACCAGCUAUAUCACCAUCAUGAGGGGCGAGGAGCAACAUACCCCUGUGCACGUGGCUCAGUCCUGCAUAUUUUUAUUUGCAGCCGUCACACAGUUGUUGCUGGCAGGCAUUUUGCUGGCACAAGGCGGGCAGAGUGGAGCAGGUCUCCUGCUUCAUGCAGUCAUACACAAAUCCACUUGCUGUAACCCAGGAGUUGUUUGCACAGUUUGUGUUAGUCCUUGCCAUAGGCGGAUGGGGCUUUCUCUUGCAAGGGCCUUUCAUUUGAAAACAGGCUGUUCAAAACUCAAGUAUUUAGGGACUUGUGUUCUUUAGGACAGCUCAGGUUUCUAUAUGCACAUGUUUUAUCGGGGAGCUGGGCCCGGGCAAGCACAGAUGGACUCCAGGCUUAUGGAAAGUACCUUUCAAACCAGCCCUGUUUAGAUUUCUAGCCUGAGCCAGAAAACAAAGAAAUAAAUAUGGGAGGUCUGCCUUUUUUUUUCCCCCCUGAUGUGUUUAAUUGCAUUGACAAUGAGAGCCCGGGUCAGCCUCUCUAUCGGAAAUACCCCAAAAAGUCUCAGAUUUUGCACAGAUUUCCCCAAAUUCUUCAUCAGGGGAGAUGACACUUCUCAUCUUUACCCAGAAACUCUCUCAGCAUUUUUCUGUUACCUUGCACAGGAGAGAGCCUGCGGUGGCUGUUCAGGCCACCUCUCUAGCCCUGGCUUGGUAGGGUAUAGAUAUAUAGGUUACUUGCCCUAUGUUGUGUGGCUUGGCCAACGCAGGGAAGGAUGCAAUCCCAAUAUUGCUUGUGAUACACCAAAUUACAAAUGCCAUCAGAGCAAGCAUGGAGCUCAGCAGAGGUGCUGCUGACAUGGAGUAUGAGGACAGUGGUGACAGCGCCCAGAAGUGGCAGGAUCUUACGUGAUCGUAGCUGUGACAGCGUGUGCAGGGAGGCUGCUGCUGAGAUAGGUUGUGUGAUAUUCAUGCUGCUGUUUCUCUUCAAAGAUUUUUGUGCCACGUUUAUUUUCUGCCUUACUUGCAGUUGUUUUUCAACUCUAGUGCAACUGUUAAAACUGUUUGAAAGAGUCAGCUUGCAAAGCUGAAGGGUUAAACAUAGGAUGUGGAGUGGGCCUAAAUACAGCAGGCUUCUUUGGUGGCUAGGACUGCCACCAUCAUCUGUGCUCUCAAAAUGGUCUCUCUGCUGUACAGCAGUGGUUUGCAGUUUUAGCUUAAAGCAUCACCCACGUGUGCAACUAGAUGUCUUCCUUAGGCACCUCACUGUGCCGGCAAGGGCUUGGCUGAGCCAGAUCUGCAGGUGCAAGAAGUGACAAGAGAUGGGAAGUGGAAACUGGUCUGUCUUUAGGGCACCAUUGUAGUUUUCAGCUGUGCAUCCAACCAUCAAUCUCUGCAGGUGAGCAAAGAUCGUUGCUGAGCAUCUAUUUUCUCCUUCUUAACUUUUACUGUGCAGGAAGUAAAUAAACACUUACGCAUACUUUUAACAUAUUUGUCAGGUAAAAAUAGGCUUAAGUAUUGUGGGGCUAAAUGGGCUGAGCGCUGCUUCAUAUUGCACAUGGGAGCCCAUUGAAAUCAAUGGGGUCUCAAGGGUAUAACUGAUGGCAAACAUCAGCCCUGUCUUUAAAUCUUUUGUAUCUCGCUGUCUCAGCUGCUGGCACACAGGAACGGUACCCUGCAGCCCUGCCAUCAUUAGUCAUAGGCUAACCUUCCUGCUCUUGGGGGUGCAGGGGCUCGGGGCGCUCUUACUGACAUCGGGGAAGGAAUCCUCCAGAAUUUUGAUGGUUAUAGUUGCAAAAGACAGGAGUCUGGUCUUUGUCUUACAGCAUCUCCUAACCCCAUCUAGUAGGAGAGCCCUGUCAGGUUCAGAAGGACGAAUGCGUUGUCCCUGGUUUACAGUUUAUUACUAAUUAGGAUCAACUGUAAUCUCAAGCAGUGUAUGCCUGAAAUAAAAUCUACUGUUUCCAUGGACAUCAAAUUGGUAUACAGAGCUGACUAAAUCUACUGACCCAAGCAGGAGUUUCCAGGGCACAUUGUUAGUUUCUGGUGCCUCUGGUUGAUGUGUUCACAGUAAUAGCUGACACUUAGAUGAAUGUGUCUCCCCUCUCAGAUAGAUCAUAAUCUGUGUCCAGAAACAAUUCAUGCAGACACUUGGCAUCACUUCAUAACAACCCAGUAUCAGGGAACAGUGAUACAGAGGAGAGCAUGGCUGUAGGAGAAGGGAGCUGCCCUGGCAGGAGACAAGAGUCGCUACAAAAAAAGGUGCAAACAUUAAUACUGGAUGUUAUUGCAGAUCGUUACUUGCUGUUACAGCCCCAGGCCUGAGCAGCAUGGCUGUCCAAAACACUGUACACACAAACAAUAAGGCAGAAUGGAUUUCUUAGAGGAAUGUAGGGGGCUAACGCAAAAGAUCGUGCAUCCAUUUUAAAGCAAAAAGAUUAGGGAUUUGUUGAUUUACACAGGCUUUUGCGCUUAAACCAACUGUCUCGAGUCCUACCUCAGCCUUUGGCACCAGCCUUUCUCCUGGGAGCAGAGGGGGACUGGAUAUUUCAGUGUUUUCUGUAGGUUGUGGUAUAGCAGUUUUAUACAGUGGUGUGGUGCUCUGUGUAGUAGGAUGUUUUCCAUCAGCACUUACACAUGCUGAUUUCCUCCUUUGCAUUGUGCAUUAGGUCGGAUAACCAAGAUUUUUAACCUGAUCACCACCUUACUAAGCAAAACCAUAGUGCCUGCAUUUCCUGUUAAUUUGGUACCUUUUGUUUCUUCAACAAAUCUAGCAUGACAGAAGGGAGAAGCAGCGUGUCCAGCUCACUCUGAGAAAAUUGUAGCAAGGGCAGAAAGAAGUGGUCGCCUAACAGCUCGCAGCCAUACUGUACAAGAGAUUUUUGGAUAGGAAGUGAAGAGCAACUUUUCCCAUGGGAACUACAGGGGGAGGCAAACUGAACUGAAUGGAGACCUCAUAAAUCAAAGACAUACGCCUUUGACUUUCUGCACUAUAGCCUUGGGCAGCUGGUAUUUAUAUGCCCAGUCAAGAAUCAAAAAAAAAAAGCUACAAAAUCACAAAUUAUAAAAAAUGCUGGGUUCUGUGAAUGUCUUUCCAUCAGCUUCAAAGUACUACAGAAGGGGAAACUGAGGCCUGGUGCAUGGAGUCCGUUUGCCACUGAGGGUCAUGCAGAACCUCAGCCCUACAGGGAAGCUGGUUCUUAGACAUUAAUGCUCCUCACCUGCACUCUUGGUGAGAGGGGAAGGGGUCAGGCAGUAUGACUGGCAGGGAACAUCUCUGUUUCAUUCCAGUUACAAGCUAAACACUUAUCCCAUGUGUUUUCUUCAUCCAAAAGCAGCAGCAGUAUUUGCACUGCCUGCUUGCGAAAUCUACAUCAUCAAAGCACUUUGCAGGUAUUAACUAAUUCAUUGUUGUUAAACUGCAGUGAUGGGAUUUUCCAAAGCUGUCAUUAUUGGCCUAAACUGGGAGCAAAAUUCACAGCACCUGUGAUGGAAGAGUUAAGCACACUUCAAAAUACACAGGCCUAGGGAGAUGUGAUUCAGUAGGUAUGAGCUUCUCCAUCCACCCUCAUCCAAGAACCUUCUCACUUAUCACUGACUGAAAGCAGGAGGUUAUUUUCACUCCGUUCAGCAAUCACUUCACAGACUCCUCCAGUACAGUCUCCCUGAUAACUGCCACCCCCCUACCCCUCCAGCUUAGAGCCAACAAUUUGCAAUAGAUAUUUUUCUGUGCCUUAGCCUAGACACUAGCUCAGUGUCUCGUCCCUUUUAUCCAUCACCAACCUCAGUUCAGGGUGUGGAGGUAAGUCUGAGGCUUUGUUGCUUAGCUCUCUGUACUGGCAUGAUUCUCACCCUCUUGAAAUGCUCCUUUUGCUCAGAACUUUCCUGCCAGCCUGCAGUUUGCAGCAGUUGAAGUGCACUAGUGCAAUGCAUCUCUACCUCUUACAGGCAGCGAGUGGAUUCCCUUGUGGCUGUAGGUAUCUUCCUAUGCAAGCUGAUGGGCUGCUUGGCCUGCAAGUUUGAUUGCACAGCUACCUCUGAAAUGCAAUCAGCUCUUUCCCCCCACCUUGCUGCCCUUGGUUUUCUCUGUGUGUAGGGUUAUGAGCCGGCCAAUACCUUAGGGCAACCUCUCCCUCUUGCCUGGGCAUUAAAAGACAGUGCUGGGGCUUACUGAAGCACUAUCAGGCACUGUCCCCAUACAGUUGUUUGUCAUCUUUCUCUUUUUGAGGGCAGCUGGAUUCUAAGAAACCCAGACAGGGGGCUACAGGCAGGGAAACGGGAGCACAAAAGGACCUUUUGCUUAUCUCUGACCUUUCUGGCAUGGAUGCCUGUAGCAGGGUGGCUUCCAGGGCCCAGAUAAUGCAAAAGCUGGGAUGCACGAUUAGGCAUUGAGACAUGGUCUGCAAAGAUCUGGUAAAGACCUGUGAGGGGGCAGUGAAGAGAGGGGAAAAAAAGGAAGUCUCCUCUGCAAAGCAUGGUAAAAAGCUGGGGUGGAGGGAUGUGGUGGGGUAGUGCCCUGGUCCAGGGAGCUGGAGUGGUUUUGCCAAAGGGUCAAGGAAGUGUUUGUAGCUUUUGCAGGUUUCUUGCUGGUGAUGGGUUCAAUGAGCUGGAUGCUGGAGAAGAGCGGUCCCGGACCAGUGCCCUGCUCUAUGCAAAACCCAGCCCUGCUCCACCAGCUGCAGGCAGCGGUGAACAGCCCCCUCCUGCUCUCUGUACCUGUGCUAGAGCUGGCUAACACUCCCCAGUGCAAACAUUUGGAGGAGAAUGCCGAUUUUUCUUCACCUGCUUGGAAGUGUAUUAGAAUGAGAGAAAGUGUGACCCUGCUGCACUGGCUGUAGCCACCCUCUUGGGGCACAGACUAAGAAUUGGGGCCAGGAGAAAGCAAGUCUUGGACCUGAACUUUGUCUUCCCACAUCCCAGGUCAUGCCACAGUGUGGCAGAGCUUUCCAGACAUUGCCUGGAAUAUUUGUCAGAAACUACAGGCACAGCUGGUUUCUGACAAAACUGAAGCUCCUGUGUGCGUUAGCUGGUGUCUGCAAAAGACUAAAUUUAUUUCUCAGUGGAUGUGUAGUUUGAGUGUCUCUUCUCCUGAGCUUGUGUGAGACUUUUGGGAAUGUAAUUGCUGGCACAUUUACCUGAUCAAGUCAGUCAGACUUGGUUGAAAUUGGCCAAAGGAUUAAGAAUUUAUGGGAAACACAGGACAGAAACACGCAGCAGGAUUGCAUAUGGCUUGUUUCUUCAGAAAACAAGGCUAAGAAGUGCUGAAAGGUCUUGGGUUCAUCCUGAUGCAGAACAGGAAGAUUUUUGUGGGAUGGGAAAAAUGUUUCCUGCCCAGUUCCAGUCCGUGCCGCAGCGUAGGGAGACCCAUUGUGGUAAGCCUGGGCUGCAGCGAUGGGGCCUGGACAGACAGAGGGGGACCACAGGGUGUGUUUAUGUCCAGCAGCCUCAGUAAAAAUUCCCCUUUAUGGUAUCCCAGCCAAAUCCUCCUUCUUCCACUCCAAAAUGGACAGGCAGUACAGCAUAACCCUGAGGUAAACAAGCAGAAAGCGGUUAACUGGGCAGAAUGUAACAUGUAUAUUUUCAGGUAGAAAAAUCACUUUCCCAAGCCUCUUUGGAGAAAAACAUCCUCUAAAGCUUCUUGUUUUGCUGAGGCUUCUCGUGAGUGUUUCCAGCCGCGGAGGGACAGAUCCCCAGUACAGAUGCUGGCAGCCCCACCCUGCCAGCGAGGAGUUGCACUUUCAGUAGCCAUGUACUAGGGUGACUUGGGGUCAGCUGGGGUGUAGCCGGUGAUAGUUAUCUUUGUGAGGCCUUGAGAAUACUGUUAUUUUCCCCCCACCCCCUGUUUAGGCUGUAGUGACCCAGCUCUGAUUUCCUCUUAAUUAAUUGCAGUAGUCUCGGUUUCUGUGUUUCAUGUAGUAAUGAGCAUUUCCUUUAUUACGGCUAUCACUUAGGCAGCAUAUCUGUCUGCCCUAGUAACCACUGGGGCUCAGCAGAUGUAGGUCUAGUCCGUGCUUCACCAAUAUAAAUUGUUCCUGAGCUGGGGGAGGUUCAUUUGCCAGCAUAAUUAGAGCACUAGAUGCUCUUAUACAAAUAUGGGCAUACUUUACAUUAUCACAGUUUAUUUUACGUAUAUACUAAUUUAAAUGUAGUUACGCUUAAAUGGGUUUGCCACCACAAUAUCCUUUGCAUGGUGGAAAGAGUAAAGCUUUCAUCUGGAUGGAGCAAAUGGAGAAGCCCACCUGAUUCUGAGAUAGUGGACCUAAAUCCCUCCUGGGCACAGCUUUCCUGUCUUCACUUGCCCAUUUGGUAACGCAGCUCUGCAGCCAGCCAGGUCUUGUCCCUGGUCUGGCAAGGUUUAACCCAGUCAGAACACGGCAGCCAGCACAAAGACCAGCCUCCGUGCAAGGAAGGGAGCAAGACUGGCACCAGGCAGGGGGAGAACAGGACAGCCCCUUUGGCACCAGCCUGGGCUGCAGCGGUUUCACCCAGGAAACCAGAUCCCAGAUUGUCCUUGCUUUCCCUGUGCAACCCAGGAAACCAGAUCCCAGAUUGUCCUUGCUUUCCCUGUGCAGUUGGUUUCUCAUGCAGCUCCUUUGUCCACCUUAUCUAGCAAGGUUGGCACCUUCUCGGUCUCCCCUGGUGUGCGUGGGGCCUGAAAAGCCCCAAUUUUGGGGUGCAGGGUGCUUUUUUACCCAUUGUAAGGCAAAUAAUAGCUUUGGUUCCUGAGUCCCAGAGCCUGUACCACCACUUCAGGCAGGCAGGUCACUUCCAAGUGUGUUCUGGGAGUUGUCACUACAAAAGCUAGCACUCAGCUAUUGAAGUCUCUAAAUCCUGACCAAAGUGGAUUAAUUUACACCAAGUUAAUUACUAGGUCUCUUUCCAAGGGUCUGAUGCAGUUGUUCUAUUGCAUGAUGUCAUUUUCAGGGAGAAUGAAAGCCUUUGUUUACAUGUUUAUAGUGUUGUUUUGAAGAUAAGAUCUUGGGCCAUCUUUCACAUGGGGAUUUUCCACCAUCUUGAAGGCCUUUGACACCAUUAAUAAACAAACAUCAUUAAUGAUUAAUCAUCUAAAUAUGGAGUAGGCUUAGUGACAGGUAAGUGCAGAAUAAAUGCAUUUGCUGGAGUUCUACUUGCACACAUAUCAGAGGGUUCUGGCCACAGUUCUCCUGAAUUCCGUGGAGACCUACAUACCUCCUUUAUCUUAUUUGUCUGGAGGGAAACUGAGGCAUGUAGCAGCUAAGUUGUCUGCCUAGGCCACCAAGCAAGGCAGAAAAGAGCUAGGAAAUUAAUCCCCAAGCCCUGACACUUCCUGGCUCUUUCCAAUAUGUACUUUUUCUUUCCACUGUCAACAUGUAUUAAAUAUUUUUAUUGUACGUCAUAUUAUCUGGGUGAGGGAAAUAAUGCUCCUUGUUCUCUCUGGGAAACUUGUUAAGAUCCUAGAAAAUAGAAAUAGCUGUGCUGGUGAAACCUAAGGCUUAUUCAACAGUCUCCUCUCUCCAAGAGGCCGGUAUUAGCUGACUCAGAGGAAGACAGAAGAACCCUGCACAAGCAGACUAGGGAUAAUUUGCAAGAACCGUUAAUGGUGUUGACUCUGAAGCAUGUGGUUUAGCAUCUCCUCUCAUGCAUUUUAGAAUACAAGAUAGUCUUGAUAUCCAGAGAAUACCCAAGCUCUUUCUGGCUUGUAAUCUUGCUUAGGAAUCGCAAGAACUUGGCAUUGUAGGCUCAAAAGGAAGUGGCAGGAGCCAGGACUGGUUGUUAGCUGUCAAAUCCCAAAAGGUCAUGCUUAGGUUGGUGCACUGAGAAGAACGAGGUAGGAGUGCUGUUGCAAAUGGAAAAACAUUUCCAUGCACUGCGCUGUUGUCUCUAGGAAACCUUUCAAGCACUCCCAGGCCCAGCAGUUUGCUAAGAAGACCCAGAUCUCGUUCCUUUCAUUACUGUUGCCAGCAGAAAGGGUUUGGGUUUUGUUUUUUAAUUCAAGCAGAAUCUGCUCCUGGCUCCACUGAAGCUGGUCACAGCUUUUGUUCAAAAAUUAAGCCCUUCCGUAUUCAGCUGUGCUUUGUGCAGUAAGACAUCACCUGAUCCUUGCCUGAGUACGAGUGAGCUCCUGCUCACCCUGCAUGCUUGGGAGGGGGCUGACUGAUUCCCCCGAGUGACCAAACAGCUGCAUCUUGAACCAGGCAGCCAAGUGGUAACUGCAAAUAGUGCAUACAACCCUUCUGCCCCAGAGCGUGACCGCAGGAGGGGGGCUCCGUCCAAAAUGCAAGUGAUGCGUUGAUGCCUUUCAGCAGCUCCAGGCGAGCCAACGGAUUUCAAGGGGGCACCUCAGGCCUCAGCUAGGGGGGGUGGGGGGUGGCAAGGGCUGGGGGAGACUCCCAGGGUCUCCUUAUUGCUUGUGUAUGUACUGGGCACAGCCAGUGUGGAGGAAACAUUCUUCCCAAGUGGGUACUGAAGGAGGGUCUUGCCUUCUCUCGUGUCAUGGGGUGCAAUCCCAGCAUCUCCCAAGAGGCUGUUCCCAACAUCAGGUAGGUCCCUCUUUCAGUAGCUGCUUCCUGAGAGGGAUUCACAGGACCGGGGAUAACUCCAGUUUCCUUUGCUAAGGCCCUGGAACUGCAGGGCAUACCAGAAAUUUUAGUAGCAGUGAGGUCAAACUGUCAUCUCCCAUCACCUCCAACUUGUUUGCAUCUCUCUAGGGCCUCCUGUCUUUCCUCCUCUGUAGCUAUUAAGGGUUUAUUCUUUUCUGGCAAGGAAAAGGCAAGAUCCCAGCUGACCUGGAGUCUUCUGAUAACUUUUGGAGGCAGCUGAGAACUGACUGUACUCCCCAGCCUCGAUGAGGUCAAGACAGGAGCUGAAUUCAUCAGUCACCAUUUCCCAGGAAUUGGCUGCUGUGCUUUAUGUUCAACUCUCUCCCAAGUUUUCAGACCAUUAUUGAAAGGCUGGCUCAGCCAGUCUCUGUGUCUUUACACUCACUUUUUGCACUAGAAGGUCUGUCAGCUGCCAAACAGGGUAGGACAGUGGUGUUUGUACAGUGAAGGCCAUAACUGAGAGGCCAGGUCCUCCAGAAGAUGAUGGCCAAGUCGCUUCAGAGCACACCGGGCUUGGCAUGCAUUCCCAGGUGGCUGCUUGAAAAGGGGUGGUGAGUCUCUUGCAGCCUCUGUUCAGACAUCCAGACCUGUGCUUACAUCCACAACCACAGGAUUAUACUUUAAAUCAAACAGUUCUCAUCUCUGUGAAAUUCUAAUCAUAGGCACAGAAGGGGAGGGGGCAGGUUUCUAAAAAAGCUCAGCUUUUGCUGAGAAUAUUCCAGACCCUGCUUCUUCCACUGCCUGAAGAACAAAAAGAUUUGCUGGCUGCUGAGUGCCUUUGAAAAUUCAGCCCUUGAUCUAGCUUUUAUUUUUCUCUCCUUAUCCUCCCUUUUCUUUCUCUUUCUGGCUCUCUAAGCAUGCAUGCAUCUUCCCAGUUUCUGUCUGUCUCUGGGCUGAGAAGUCAAACUCUCGUGCCAAUUUGACGUUUGCCUUUUCUGAGUGCAAGAAGCCCCUGGAGCUCAGGUGGGAGGAGAAACAAGUCACUACUUUCCAUCAUGUGUGCUUCUCAGAGCUCAGUCUGGGAAAUGAAAGUUCCUUGGCCGAGUCUGACCGGUCGUCUCCUCUUGGCACUUUGCCAGCUGAGCCUCACACAUUUGUCACAGAAUGAGCAUAGCAAUGCAGCUCAUCUUCCCUGCUUUGCCCAGUUCUCUGUGUGCUUCCUCCACUUGCUGUUUGCAGCUCUCCACCUAUUCAGUUCUCGCCUGCUUGCCCUCCUGUGCUGGGUGGUGAAGGUGUAUCUCCUU